AACUGAAAAGGAAAUGGUGUUCUUCCUUACCCAACCGCUUUACAUAAGCUGAUGACGCCUGAUUAAUA
rnacentral:ncRNA from 2 species